rnacentral:lncRNA from 1 species
GACUUUUUCUUUGUUAAUGAAAAUGAACCGGAGUUCUCUGAAACGGCUCCUGUUUGUGUUUCUCUCCAGGACGGAGGAUAACUACACGCUGCUGAAGGAGAUGAAAGACAUGGCUGUGAAGAGCGGCUGUCAGCUGAAGGUUUGCCCUCAGUUCGUGAACAGAGGAGAUCGAUGGAUGCAAGUGAGAAACCUGACGUGUUCAUUCAUUUUUAGACACCUGUAAUCUGACGUUUCCCUCUUCUUCAUCGCGUUACCGAGUCUGAGGUGUCGGAUUUUUAUGACCUUAUCUGAACUGUGAAGAGAAGUGAGAGAGACGGACUCAGAGAGCUCCUGUGUCAAGGUCAUUGGGGUCAUUCACAGCAUCCUUUGUACGAGUCCAGUCAUGACUGAUCUGAUAAUUUAGAGUACAGUAACAGUAACAGUAAAAGUGGUUCAUCGUUCUGAAUGACCACAUGAUGAAACAAAACAGGAAAUGAGACGAGUGAAAUCUUCACAGAAGAAGGAAGGAACUGCUUCUCUGGAAGUGGGCUAAUCAGUAGAGAUGACAGAGUUCACGUCGAGAAGAUAAGAUAAGAUCGUCCUGUAUUAGUCUCACAGGGGGAAGUUUUAAAUGACAGCAGCAAAAAAAUACAAAAGAGAAAUUCAAGAAUAAAGAAACGUAGAGUUUAAAAAAAGAAUGAAAGGAAAAAUAAUUCAAAUAAAAUCUCAUUUAAAAAAUACACUUUAGAAAUAAAACUCAUACUUGUGUGUUUUCAGGAUGAGCUGGAGUUUGGUUACGUGGACUCCCCUCAUCAGCAGUUUCCUGUUGUUCUGGAUUCGCCUCGAAACGGACCUCUGAAGGACUUUCCUUAUAAUCAGCUGCUGGUGAGAGACCUAAACCCUCAUCCUGGACCUGUUGAAGGACUCACACUCCAAUCUGACCAGAGUCUUGAUUUCCAGGACUCCUGAUCUGAGUUCAUCUUCAGCCCUAAAGUCUCUGACUUGUUCUCAGACUCAGAAGAUGCAGACUUCUUGUUUUCGCUGUUAUUUAAAUAUGAAGUUUGAUAAGCUCAAAGUUAAAGAGACACCUGACAACAACACGUGUCUCUUCAGUGUUUCCUCACUCAAACCUGACGCCAUGUUUUUGUAUUUUGUCCCAUAACCGCUCUCACGUCCUCAGGGCCCUGACUUCGGCUACGUUACAAGACCAGCCCACAGAGAAGAAGUGACCAGUCUGGACUCUUUCGGGAACCUGGAGGUCAGUCCUCCGGUCACCGUGAAUGGAAAGCACUAUCCCUUAGGCAGGAUCAUCAUCGGAGUGGCCUUUCCUACGUGAGUGUCUCAAAGAUCCAGAGAAGAGUCUCAGACUUUUGAGGAGGAUGAAUAAUCCAUGUUGGAGCGGCUCUUUAAACUCUGUCUCUUCUCAAAGGGCAGAGACGGGACGCAACAUGACCAAAGUAGUUCAGGACUUCCUGUGGGCCCAAAAGGUUCAGGAGCCGGUGGCUCUGUUUUCUGAUUGGCUGUUUGUGGGACAUGUUGAUGAGUUCAUGACCUUUGUUCCUGCACCUGACAGAAAGGUAAAUAGUCUCUUUAACCGCCAACAAAGAAAUUAAAAUCUAAAAGAAGUGGUUUCAGUUGAUUUAUGGCAGAUGUGACACGUGCACUUUUUUAAUGAAUAGAUUUAAAUGCAGCCCAGAGCGUCUGCACGGCAGUGUUAACUCUUUACACAGGCUUGGUGGGUUAGAUGAUGCAUCUCACCACCAAAGUUUGUGAGGGUAGGGGUCUGUCCUGCCCUGUGAAAAGUUAAUAAACAGAAGUUAAACCUAUAUUUACCUGAAAACAGACGACAAAGACGACAAAUUGAGUGUUGAAACGGAAAAAAAUUGGCUCAUUUGCUUUUGGUAAAGUAGGAACAGAUUCAGAGAUAUCUCUUCAAAUAAAGCCUGCCUCUUAUACAGGCCUGUGUCAUAUAAAGGCCUGGUACCCUCAGCUUUGAAAACAAAUACAAGUCCCUGUUUACAUCUGAGGAUGAAGCCACAUGAACUCAAACUGUACUUCUGUUCUCAGGGGUUUCGGCUGCUGCUCGCUAGCCCUGAUGCCGCCUACAAACUCUUCAGGAACUUACAGAAUGACGGACACGGACAGGCCACACUGUUGGAGGGUAGGGGUCCGUCCUGCUCUGUGAGAUCUUAAUAAACUGAAGUUAAACUUAUAUUUACCUGAAAAUAGACAACAAAGACGACAAGUGAAGUGUGGAGACGGAAAAGUCUCUGUGUUUGAUGAAAACCUGAUGAUUCGCUCAACUUGAACAUGUUUGAUUUGGGGGUUAAAUCUAGAUUUACAUUUCUAUCUCUCUUUGACUUCAAUAAGGUCGGCGAGAGGGCGAACCACUGACAGUGGAUCAGAUACUUGCUGAUGAGACUUUGCAAAAUGGGAACAUGUACGUGCAGGUGAGUGGGAUUCAAGUGUUAGACCGAGCCGAGUGAAUACACACUAUCAAUGUUAUCGAAUGAACGUGUUUGAGUCCCAGAUCGUUGUAAUUUAAUUCAUUAAAGGGAAACAGAGAAGAAUGUGACACCAGUCUCAGCCAAUCAGAACGCUUUGAAGAAGGGAUGAUGGAGAGUAAACUGGUGGUUAUGCUAAUUAGAAUACUGACAGGGUGAGCAGGACUCUGAAACAACAGGGACCAUAACAACCCGCUCACUUUACAUGUCUCACCUGUUACCUGGUAUAAACAAGUUGGCAUGAAAUGUUGAUUGAAAGAGGAUUUGAUUGGUUUAAAAAUUAAUGUCCUGGUUUAUGAUCUGAGCUUCAGUUAAAAAAAAACUGAGCCGUUGAGGCAGAUUUGAAAAAAGCAGCGAGGUGAUUGGAUGGAGAGGUGGCACAGGAAGUUGACAAAUAGGAGCUGUCCAGGAUGGAUGGCUCCUAUUGGUCAAUGUUUUUGCAGCCCUGCUCCUGAUAGGAUGAACAGAUUUUUUUCUGUUCUUUUUUCUCUUCACUUUGUGGAGAUCGCACUACAGGACCAUGGUCGCCAUAGAAACGAGGUUCAUAAUAAUUACUAAUCUCUACAAUCCUCAACCAUGCCUUUAAAACUGACCUUUAAAAAAAACUCAGAUGUCUUCCUUCAUCAAGAGAGGACAGAAAUGUGGAGAGAGAGAGAGAGAGAGAGAAAGAGAGAGAGAGAGAGAGAGAGAGAGGGAGAGGCAGAGACCAGGCCCUGCAGAGAUCGGGGUUUGCUCCUUCAUAAAACUCCUGCAGGAUUAUUUUCGUAGACGUUUUCUCAGCUCUCCUUCUCUGAGUUUUGCAGAUCUUUGUCGUAUCUCCGGCAGGCCGUCUUCUUCUGCACAGACCACAGAAGGUGCUGCUUUGUUGUCCUGCUGGUGUGAUGGACAGUGUCUGCCAUGUUUUUGUUUCCCAGAGCUGCAUCGACUGGAACAGAGACGUCCUGAAGAGAGAGCUGGGCCUGGAGGAGGCAGACAUCAUCGACCUGCCGAUUCUCUUCCAGGUCCAUUGGUCAGGACCGGAGGAGCCGCACAGAGCUUCAGCUUUCUACCCUGACAUGGUAUUUCCAGAGAUGGAACAGAGAUGUGAUCAUGUUAGCUCUCAUUCUUGGUCUCAUGUUUGUUAUCAUCUGUUUCUAGGUGAACAUGGUGGUCUUGGGGAAAAACCUCGCCAUCCCAAAGCCGUAUGGCCCCAAAGUGAACGGCCGCUGUGCCCUGGAGACCGAAGUGAGCUCCCUGCUGGAGGGUCUGGGUCUCAGCUGCACCUUCAUCGAUGACUUCGCCUCCUACCAUGAAAUGCUGGGAGAGCUGCACUGCGGCUCCAACGUCCUCAGGAAACCGUUUGACUUCAAGUGGUGGAACAUGGAGAUGUGAGGGGAACUGGAGAGGGGACAGAGAUGGUUUCUGAAGAUACUUGAUAGAAAAUAAAACAUGUUCAGUCUGUUAAAGUUAGAAAAGCUUUUUUUGGAUCAUGUUUAUCGAUGGUUUCCUUUUCGCUUGUUUCUGUUUCAGCCUGUGACGAGUGUUUAAUGAAAAUCGCUUUAACACGUGAUUAUAAGUCCAUGCGGUGAUUUCCACUUCAGAGUCAUGUCUGUUUUUGAUGUGGUGCCUCCUGAAGGCCUGAGAAUCACAGCCAUCCAGUAUCCAGGAUGUACUUUAGUGCAGAUUCUUCUCCAGCACAUUUCUUUUUAAUAUUGUUUGCUGUAAACUGAUGAAAUCCAACAUUUGAUCUGUUUCAUUGCAGUUUUAUUUUCAUUAAAUAUCGGCUCUAAACAAGCUGUGAAAUCAUCAAA